rnacentral:misc_RNA from 1 species
GUCUAUUUGUGGUGAUGAUGGCCUGAGGGAGAUUUCAUCUCCAGGGAAAAGUGGCAGUAUCUUCUAUCUUUCUCUUGAUGAUAGAUUUGUGAUUAAAACAUUGAAGAAAUCUGAACUCAAGUUUUUUCUCAAGAUGCUGCCCGACUAUUACCGUCAUGUAGGAAAGCAUGAAAAUACUCUAAUAACAAAAUUUUUUGGGGUCCAUCGAAUAAAACUAAGAGGUGGAAAAAAGGUGCGCUUUGUGGUCAUGGGGAAUAUGUUUUGCACUGAAUUAAGAAUUCAUCGACGUUAUGAUUUGAAGGGGCA